rnacentral:rRNA from 1 species
AACGUACGCUGGCGGCACGCCUAACACAUGCAAGUCGAACGAAGUAGUAAUACUUAGUGGCAGACGGGUGAGUAACAUGUAGGUAUCUGCCCUUUGGCCUGGAAUAACACGAGGAAACUUGUGCUAAUACCGGAUAAGUCUUUACGGAGAAAGCUUUAUGCACCAUUGGAUGAGCCUGCACUUGAUUAGUUUGUUGGUGGGGUAAUGGCCUACCAAGACUGUGAUCAAUAGCUGAUUUGAGAGGAUGAUCAGCCACAUUGGGACUGAGACACGGCCCAAACUCCUACGGGAGGCAGCAGUGGGGAAUCUUGCACAAUGGAGGAAACUCUGAUGCAGCGAUGCCGCGUGAGUGAAGAAGGCCCUUGGGUUGUAAAGCUCUUUCGUCGGGGAAGAAAAUGACUGUACCCGAAUAAGAAGGUCCGGCUAACUUCGUGCCAGCAGCCGCGGUAAUACGAAGGGACCUAGCGUAGUUCGGAAUUACUGGGCUUAAAGAGUUCGUAGGUGGUUGAAAAAGUUAGUGGUGAAAUCCCAGAGCUUAACUCUGGAACUGCCAUUAAAACUUUUCAGCUAGAGUAUGAUAGAGGAAAGCAGAAUUUCUAGUGUAGAGGUGAAAUUCGUAGAUAUUAGAAAGAAUACCAAUUGCGAAGGCAGCUUUCUGGAUCAUUACUGACACUGAGGAACGAAAGCAUGGGUAGCGAAGAGGAUUAGAUACCCUCGUAGUCCAUGCCGUAAACGAUGUGUGUUAGACGUUGGAAAUUUAUUUUCAGUGUCGCAGGGAAACCGAUAAACACACCGCCUGGGGAGUACGACCGCAAGGUUAAAACUCAAAUGAAUUGACGGGGACCCGCACAAGUGGUGGAGCAUGUGGUUUAAUUCGAAGAUACGCGCAGAACCUUACCAACACUUGACAUGUUCGUCGCGACUCUAAGAGAUUAGAGUUUUCGGUUCGGCCGGACGAAACACAGGUGCUGCAUGGCUGUCGUCAGCUCGUGUCGUGAGAUGUUGGGUUAAGUCCCGCAACGAGCGCAACCCUCACUUUUAGUUGCCAUCAUUAAGUUGGGCACUCUGAAAGAACUGCCAGUGAUAAGCUGGAGGAAGGUGGGGAUGACGUCAAGUCCUCAUGGCCCUUACGUGUUGGGCUACACACGUGCUACAAUGGUAUCUACAACAGGAAGCAAGACUGCGAAGUUAAGCAAAUCCCUAAAAGAUACCUCAGUUCGGAUUGCACUCUGCAACUCGAGUGCAUGAAGCUGGAAUUACUAGUAAUCGUGGAUCAGCGUGCCACGGUGAAAUGCGUUCCCGGGUCU